rnacentral:rRNA from 1 species
GAGUUUGAUCCUGGCUCAGGAUGAACGCUGGCGGCGUGCCUAACACAUGCAAGUCGAACGAAGUGCUUUUGAUGAAGCUUCGGCGGAUUUAAAAGUAUCUUAGUGGCGGACGGGUGAGUAACGCGUGGGUAACCUGCCUUAUACAGGGGGGAUAACAGUCAGAAAUGACUGCUAAUACCGCAUAAGCGCACAGAGCUGCAUGGCUCGGUGUGAAAAACUCCGGUGGUAUAAGAUGGACCCGCGUUGGAUUAGCUGGUUGGUGGGGUAACGGCCCACCAAGGCGACGAUCCAUAGCCGGCCUGAGAGGGUGAACGGCCACAUUGGGACUGAGACACGGCCCAAACUCCUACGGGAGGCAGCAGUGGGGAAUAUUGCACAAUGGGCGAAAGCCUGAUGCAGCAACGCCGCGUGAGCGAUGAAGGCCUUCGGGUCGUAAAGCUCUGUCCUCAAGGAAGAUAAUGACGGUACUUGAGGAGGAAGCCCCGGCUAACUACGUGCCAGCAGCCGCGGUAAUAC